rnacentral:rRNA from 2 species
UGAGGAAUAUUGGUCAAUGGACGCAAGUCUGAACCAGCCAUGCCGCGUGCAGGAUGACGGCUCUAUGAGUUGUAAACUGCUUUUGUAUUAGGGUAAACCUUAGUACGUGUACUAAGCUGAAAGUAUAAUACGAAUAAGGAUCGGCUAACUCCGUGCCAGCAGCCGCGGUAAUACGGAGGAUCCAAGCGUUAUCCGGAUUUAUUGGGUUUAAAGGGUGCGUAGGCGGUUUUAUAAGUUAGAGGUGAAAUUUCGGUGCUCAACACCGACACUGCCUCUAAUACUGUAGGACUAGAGAGUAGUUGCGGUAGGCGGAAUGUGUAGUGUAGCGGUGAAAUGCUUAGAGAUUACACAGAACACCGAUUGCGAAAGCAGCUUACCAAGCUAUAUCUGACGUUGAGGCACGAAAGCGUGGGGAGCAAACAGG